UACCAGACUCCUACGGGAGGCAGCAGUGGGGAAUAUUGCACAAUGGGCGAAAGCCUGAUGCAGCAACGCCGCGUGAAGGAAGAAGGGUUUCGGCUCGUAAACUUCUAUCAACAGGGACGAAAGAAAUGACGGUACCUGAAUAAGAAGCCCCGGCUAACUACGUGCCAGCAGCCGCGGUAAUACGUAGGGGGCAAGCGUUAUCCGGAAUUACUGGGCGUAAAGAGAGCGUAGGCGGCACUACAAGUCUCAUGUGAAAUACCCGGGCUUAACUUGGGGGUUGCAUGGGAAACUGUAGAGCUUGAGUACAGGAGAGGCAAGCGGAAUUCCUAGUGUAGCGGUGAAAUGCAUAGAUAUUAGGAGGAACACCAGUGGCGAAGGCGGCUUGCUGGACGAUGACUGACGUUGAGGCUCGAAAGCGUGGGGAGCAAACAGGAUUAGAUACCCUUGUA
rnacentral:rRNA from 1 species